GGCCAACGAUCCGCCCCGCACCUGCCCUCCCCAGCCCCGGGCCAAGCGGCGGGUUGGGGAGCCCCCGAGAGAGCCAGACUGAAUGCUCCCGAUGGGCAGGAGGGACACCCAGCACCAGGGUUAGGAUUAGAGAUACCCGAGUGCCCCUUCUGGCUCUGCUGCUCCGAAGCUGUGUGACAUGGAGAAAACUACCUACUCUCCCCUGCAAAUGGGCGUGCCUCUCCGCCUGUCUCGCAGGGCAGCUGUGAGAGUUAGAUAAUAACUACCAACCUCUGAACUGCCAUGUAGAUUAAAAGAUGAUGUAUUAUAUAUACAUGGCAUGGGCUUUCCAGGAACAACCCCAGUGUCUUUCAACCAGAGAAUAAAGAAACUGUGGUGUAUCAGAGACUGGAUUACCACUCAGCAAGAAGAAAUAAACUACCGACACAUGCAACAAUGUGGAUGAAAUGGAAAUGCAUCAUGUUAGUGUGAAAGAAACAGACUCAAAAGGUGACAUAUUGUAUGAUUCCAUUUAUAUGACAUUCUGCAAAAGUUAAACUAUAGGGACAGAAAUCUGGCCAGUGGUUGCCAGGGGAGUAGGUGGGGCAUGAGAGAAUGUGGGAUGGGGUGGGGUGGUGGUGAUGGAACUGUUUUGGAUUUGAUUAUGAUGGUGGGUACAUGAUGAUAUGCAUUCAUUAAAACUCAUGGCAUUCUAAA